UCAACCCUCAAGCUUAGCUUGUUAUUGGAUGCAAUUUUCAUGCUGAAAACUCAUCCCAAAGACAAUGGCGGCGUCUUUUGACCCUUUAUGCAACGAGCUUUUAAGGCACGCAUUUAAAGUGGUUGUCUGACUCCAGACCCUAAAUACAUAUUUCUAA
rnacentral:misc_RNA from 1 species